GACGAACGCUGGCGGCGUGCUUAACACAUGCAAGUCGAACGGAAAGGCCCUGCUUUUGUGGGGUGCUCGAGUGGCGAACGGGUGAGUAACACGUGAGUAACCUGCCCUUGACUUUGUGAUAACUUCAGGAAACUGCGGCUAAUACCGGAUAGGAGCUCCUGCUGCAUGGUGUGGGUUGGAAAGUUUCGGCGGUUGGGGAUGGACUCGCGGCUUAUCAGCUUGUUGGUGGGGUAGUGGCUUACCAAGGCUUUGACGGGUAGCCGGCCUGAGAGGGUGACCGGCCACAUUGGGACUGAGAUACGGACCAGACUCCUACGGGAGGCAGCAGUGGGGAAUAUUGCACAAUGGGCGGAAGCCUGAUGCAGAAACGCCGCGUGCGGGAUGACGGCCUUCGGGUUGUAAACCGCUUUCGCCUGUGACGAAGCGUGAGUGACGGUAAUGGGUAAAGAAGCAACGGCUAACUACGUG
rnacentral:rRNA from 1 species